rnacentral:snRNA from 1 species
UAACUUUGGUUUCUCUUCAGAUCAUAUAAAUCUUUCACCUUUUACUAAAGAUUUCUGUGGAGAGGAACGAUUCUGAGUCUUAAUUCAAUUUUUUUAGGCCUUUUUGGGAGGCU